rnacentral:rRNA from 1 species
CGGAUUAGGCAUGCAAGUCGAACGUGAAAGUUCCCUUCGGGGAGCGAGUAAAGUGGCGAACGGGUGAGUAACGCGUGGGAAACCUUCCCUUCGUUGGGGGAUAACAGUUCUAACGAGCUGCUAAUACCGCAUACGACCUUUGGACCGCAUGGCCUGGAGGUGAAAGGGGGCGCCCUCUUCGGAGAGCUCCCGACGAUGGAUGGUCCCGCGUCCCAUUAGCUAGUUGGCGGGGUAAUGGCCCACCAAGGCGACGAUGGGUAGCCGGCCUGAGAGGGUGUCCGGCCACACUGGGACUGAGAUACGGCCCAGACUCCUACGGGAGGCAGCAGUCGAGAAGCUUCGGCAAUGGGCGAAAGCCUGACCGAGCGACGCCGCGUGAGCGAAGAAGGCCCUAUGGGUUGUAAAGCUCUGUCAGAUUGGGAAGAAAACCUCGUGGUUAAUACCUGCGAGGCUUGACGGUACCAUCAGAGGAAGCACCGGCUAACCCCGUGCCAGCAGCCGCGGUAAUA